UAUUUUUCCCAAAAUCGAUUCCCCCCAUCCCCAAAAAUCUCUUCUUCUUUUUCCACCAUUUUAUUUUUCCCAAGCCAUUUCUCCCCUACCCCGACUCCCUUUAUUUUUCCCCCUAAUUUCCCCAAAUCGGCAGCCCUCUGCAUCCUUGUCGACACACUUUCCCUUUCCACCCUUCCCUCCAAAACCCAAAUUCCUUCAAGCAAAACCCAAACCCUCCUUCAAAUUAUCCUUAAGUUUUCCUUUUUUCUCAUUUUUGGUAUUGCGCAAGUUCCAAAUAUUGUUGGUGUUUUGCCUAUGAAUCCCGGAUAGAAUUAUAAAUUUUAGAGGUAAAUGUUUAGUGAUUUUUAGCAUUGAAGAUGGUGGUUGUCGGGCAGCAGUUUAUGUUUACAUCCAUAUUCCGUAAACGGUUAAAGCGUCCACUCCUUCCUCUCUUGUCUAUCUUCAAUUUUCUCUGAACCUAAACCAACUUUCUGAUUUGGGAUUUAAAUUGAACAUUGCCUUUUUCGCAUGUAUCUCAGAAGUAGGGAUCUAAGGGUUAAAGGUCAAGUUGUGCAGGUUGCUGGAAGAGAAAAAAUUAGGGGUCUGAUUCUUACUAGCUUCCGUUCUCCAUCUGGAAUUAUAUCAUGAGUUGCAUGCCUUGGACAGAUUUGAACAAGAUUAUCGACAUAAGCUUCAGAAAGUGGAUAAUUCAAAUACUGCUCAAAGGGGAAUUAGUGGUGCACCUCAAGAUAACAACAUUAUGCUCUGGAAUGCUGUUAUAUUUGGACUUGAUGACACCCCAUGGGAUGGAGGUAAAGUAAAUUCUGGUGUUUUGGUUUGAAGCAUCAAUUUUUCUAUGUUCGUUUAGUUGAUUUGUUUGAUUUUCUCUUUAGAAGGUUGCUUUGCUCAAUAUAUGUUGAUUAUUACUUUGAUUAUUUAUGGUGCGAAAAUUAUAAGUAUAUCAAGGUGAUCUUUUCUGAUUGUCAUGAAACUUCUGCAUCUCAGCCGAGGUUAGUCUCAAUUGAUCUCAAUUGUCUCCUUGUUCCACUAUUAGCUAAAACAAUAAGCUCGUUGAUUUUCUGACUUGCUUAAUAGAUUAGUUGUUUCAUGUUUGGAAACUUUUGAUGCUCUUGGUCUUAUGUCCUGUAGUCAUUGAAAAAAAUUUGGUUCUCAUUCUUCACUUAACAAGUCCAGUGGCACAUACAUAUGUAAACUAGGAAUUCAUUGGUUUCAUUGCUGUAAUCUCUCUUAUUCAAUAUCUAAUUCAUUUCCAUGGUUGAGAUAGCUAACUUGUCAAUUUCCUCGAGUAUUAAUUUUUGCAUUCAUGUUAUUUCCCAUUCAUAUUUAACUUGUCAAUAUCAAUUUUU